rnacentral:rRNA from 1 species
AUUGAACGCUGGCGGCGUGCUUAACACAUGCAAGUCGUGCGGUAACAGGCGUAGCAAUACGUGCUGACGAGCGGCGAACGGGUGCGUAAUACAUGGGAAUCUGCCCUUUAGUGGGGAAUAACCCGGCGAAAGCCGGGCUAAUGCCGCAUAAGAUCUUCGGAUGAAAGCGGGGGAUCGUAAGACCUCGCGCUGAUGGAUGAGCCCAUGCCGGAUUAGCUAGUUGGUGAGGUAAGGCUCACCAAGGCGACGAUCCGUAGCUGGUCUGAGAGGACGGCCAGCCACACUGGGACUGAGACACGGCCCAGACUCCUACGGGAGGCAGCAGUGGGAAUAUUGGACAAUGGGGAAACCCUGAUCCAGCGACGCCGCGUGUGUGAAGAAGGCCU